rnacentral:rRNA from 1 species
GACGAACGCUGGCGGCGUGCUUAACACAUGCAAGUCGAGCGGAGCGGCGAACGGGUGAGUAACGCGUGAGUAACUGCCCCCCUCUCCGGGAUAACAGUUGGAAACGGCUGCUAAUACCGGAUAGUGGGGGAUGACUCGCGUCAUAACAGCUGUUUUGUGGGGUAGUGGCGUACCAAGGGGACGACGGGGAGCCGGCCUGGGAGGGCGACCGGCCACAUUGGGCGGGGAUGCGGCCAGAACUCCGACGGGAGGCAGCAGUGGGGAAUAUUGCACAAUGGGGGAAACCCUGAUGCAGCAACGCGCGUGCGGGAUGACGGCCUUCGGGUUGUAAACCGCUUUCAGCCAGGACGCGGUAGUGGCAGAAGAAGCACCGGCUAACUACGUGCCAGCAGCCGCGGUAAUAC